ACAGCAGCAGCCGCGGUAAUACAGAGGGUGCGAGCGUUAAUCGGAUUUACUGGGCGUAAAGCGUGCGUAGGCGGCUUCUUAAGUCGGAUGUGAAAUCCCUGAGCUUAACUUAGGAAUUGCAUUCGAUACUGGGAAGCUAGAGUAUGGGAGAGGAUGGUAGAAUUCCAGGUGUAGCGGUGAAAUGCGUAGAGAUCUGGAGGUAUACCGAUGGCGAAGGCAGCCAUCUGGCCUAAUACUGACGCUGAGGUACGAAAGCAUGGGGAGCAAACAGGAUUAGAUACCCCAGUAGUCCCUGUCUCUUAUAC
rnacentral:rRNA from 1 species